rnacentral:rRNA from 1 species
GAUGAACGCUGGCGGCGUGCUUAACACAUGCAAGUCGAGCGAACAGACGAGGAGCUUGCUCCUCUGUCGUUAGCGGCGGACGGGUGAGUAACACGUGGAUAACCUACCUAUAAGUCUGGUAUCACCUCGGGAAACCGGAGCUAAUACCGGAUAAUAUAUUGCACCGCAUGGUUCAAUGGUGAAAGACGGCUUUGCUGUCACUUAUAGAUGGAUCCGCGCGGCAUUAGCUAGUUGGUAGGGUAACGGCUUACCAAGGCAACGAUGCGUAGCCGACCUGAGAGGGUGGUCGGCCACACUGGAAGUGAGACACGGUCCAGACUCCUGCGGGAGGCAGCAGUAGGGAAUGUUACGCAAUGGGCGAGAGCCUGACGGAGCAGCGCCGCGUGAGUGAUGAAGGUCUUCGGAUCGUAAAACUCUGUUAUUAGGGAAGAACAAAUGUGUAAGUAGCUAUGCACGUCUUGACGGUACCUGAUCAGAAAGCCCCGGCUAACUACGUG